rnacentral:tRNA from 1 species
GGGGCGAUGGCGGAAUUGGUAGACGCGUUGGUCUUAGGAACCAAUAGAGCAAUCUGUGAAGGUUCGAGUCCUUUUCGCCCUACCA